AGCAGCUGAACCCGUUGUCACAGCCUCUUCAUUUUGGCGUCAAAUUGUAGGCGUCUAGCAGCUGAACCCGUUGUCACAGCCUCUUCAUUUUGGCGUCAAAUUGUAGGCGUCUAGCAGCUGAACCCGUUGUCACAGCCUCUUCAUUUUGGCGUCAAA